GGAAGACACAGUAGAGACUAACUCAUGGAGGUCCCAGACUUAAAAGAACACAGUUGCCAACUAUUACAUUAUACAAUAAGUAGAAAGGAAGAAAGAUGAGAUAAAGAUUCUAGGAAUUAGAAAAUCCAAUUAUUGUUUGGAUUCUAAACACUAUCUCUCUGCCCUUGGAAAUGAUGGAAUAACUGGGGGAAUGUAAAUGAAGUAUGCAGUUGAAUUCCAGAGAAAAUACACGGUAAUUUUAUUAUUCUCCUUUUCCAGAUAAAGCACUUGAGUAACUUUCUCAACUUGAAUACUAACUAGCUGUUAUGAACUUUCAAAUUUUGCAUCUGCUUGUCUCAUCUCAUUACUAAUUUCUGAAGUUGUAACUCUUACCUUGAAAUCUUCAGAAGUUUUGCUCACUUGCUAACAAGCUUGCAGUCUAUCAGCCUUUAAAACAGAAAAGUGUACCUAGAAAAUUUUGUGAUGAAGCCAAAAGCCACUAGAGAGUACCAUACCUUCUCUGAUUUUGAAAGACCCCAUG